AAUAGAUACCCGGGUAGUCCACGCCGUAAACGAUGAGUGCUAAGUGUUAGGGGGUUUCCGCCCCUUAGUGCUGCAGCUAACGCAUUAAGCACUCCGCCUGGGGAGUACGGUCGCAAGACUGAAACUCAAAGGAAUUGACGGGGGCCCGCACAAGCGGUGGAGCAUGUGGUUUAAUUCGAAGCAACGCGAAGAACCUUACCAGGUCUUGACAUCCCGUUGACCACUGUAGAGAUAUAGUUUCCCCUUCGGGGGCAACGGUGACAGGUGGUGCAUGGUUGUCGUCAGCUCGUGUCGUGAGAUGUUGGGUUAAGUCCCGCAACGAGCGCAACCCUUGAUCUUAGUUGCCAUCAUUUAGUUGGGCACUCUAAGGUGACUGCCGGCGACAAACCGGAGGAAGGUGGGGAUGACGUCAAAUCAUCAUGCCCCUUAUGACCUGGGCUACACACGUGCUACAAUGGACGAUACAAACGGUUGCCAACUCGCGAGAGGGAGCUAAUCCGAUAAAGUCGUUCUCAGUUCGGAUUGUAGGCUGCAACUCGCCUA
rnacentral:rRNA from 1 species